rnacentral:rRNA from 1 species
UACGUAGGGCGCAAGCGUUGUCCGGAUUUAUUGGGCGUAAAGAGCUCGUAGGCGGCUUGUCACGUCGUCUGUGAAAGCCCGGGGCUUAACCCCGGGUCUGCAGUCGAUACGGGCAGGCUAGAGUGUGGUAGGGGAGAUCGGAAUUCCUGGUGUAGCGGUGAAAUGCGCAGAUAUCAGGGGGAACACCGGUGGCGAAGGCGGAUCUCUGGGCCAUUACUGACGCUGAGGAGCGAAAGCGUGGGGAGCGAACAGG